AUCUAUCUGACGGGUCCUAAAUAGGACGAAACGCGCAUCUUGAAU
rfam:Schistosoma rodhaini strain Burundi genome assembly, scaffold: SROB_scaffold0001441